rnacentral:rRNA from 1 species
AACGCUAGCUACAGGCUUAACACAUGCAAGUCGAGGGGAAACGAUAGAGAAAGCUUGCUUUUUCUAGGCGUCGACCGGCGCACGGGUGAGUAACGCGUAUCCAACCUGCCCACCACUUGGGGAUAACCUUGCGAAAGUAAGACUAAUACCCAAUGACGUCUCUAGAAGACAUCUGAAAGGGAUUAAAGAUUUAUCGGUGAUGGAUGGGGAUGCGUCUGAUUAGCUUGUUGGCGGGGUAACGGCCCACCAAGGCAACGAUCAGUAGGGGUUCUGAGAGGAAGGUCCCCCACAUUGGAACUGAGACACGGUCCAAACUCCUACGGGAGGCAGCAGUGAGGAAUAUUGGUCAAUGGGCGAGAGCCUGAACCAGCCAAGUAGCGUGCAGGAUGACGGCCCUAUGGGUUGUAAACUGCUUUUAUAAGGGAAUAAAGUGAGCCUCGUGAGGCUUUUUGCAUGUACCUUAUGAAUAAGGACCGGCUAAUUCCGUGCCAGCAGCCGCGGUAAUACGGAAGGUCCGGGCGUUAUCCGGAUUUAUUGGGUUUAAAGGGAGCGUAGGCCGGAGAUUAAGCGUGUUGUGAAAUGUAGAUGCUCAACAUCUGCACUGCAGCGCGAACUGGUUUCCUUGAGUACGCACAAAGUGGGCGGAAUUCGUGGUGUAGCGGUGAAAUGCUUAGAUAUCACGAAGAACUCCGAUUG